rnacentral:misc_RNA from 1 species
GAUGAAGAACGUAGCAAAAUGCGAUAAGUAAUGUGAAUUGCAGAAUUCAGUGAAUCAUCGAAUCUUUGAACGCACAUUGCGCCCGCCAGUAUUCUGGCGGGCAUGCCUGUUCGAGCGUCAUUUCAACCCUCAAGCACAGCUUGGUGUUGGGACUCGCGUUAAUUCGCGUUCCCCAAAUUGAUUGGCGGUCACGUCGAGCUUCCAUAGUGUAGUAGUAAAACCCUCGUUACUGGUAAUCGUCGCGGCCACGCCGUUAAACCCCAACUUCUGAAUGUUGACCUCGGAUCAGGUAGGAAUACCCGCUGAACUUAAGCAUAUCAAUAAGCGGAGGA